rnacentral:tRNA from 2 species
GCCCCCGUGUCCCAACCGGCAGAGGAAGCCGCCUUAAAAGCGGCGUGGUGCGGGUUCGAAUCCCGCCGGGGGCA